AGUGAACGCUGGCGGUAGGCCUAACACAUGCAAGUCGAACGGCAGCACAGUAAGAGCUUGCUCUUACGGGUGGCGAGUGGCGGACGGGUGAGGAAUACAUCGGAAUCUACUUUUUCGUGGGGGAUAACGUAGGGAAACUUACGCUAAUACCGCAUACGACCUACGGGUGAAAGCAGGGGAUCUUCGGACCUUGCGCGAUUGAAUGAGCCGAUGUCGGAUUAGCUAGUUGGCGGGGUAAAGGCCACCAAGGCGACGAUCCGUAGCUGGUCUGAGAGGAUGAUCAGCCACGCUGGAACUGAGACACGGUCCAGACUCCUACGGGAGGCAGCAGUGGGGAAUAUUGGACAAUGGGCGCAAGCCUGAUCCAGCCAUACCGCGUGGGUGAAGAAGGCCUUCGGGUUGUAAAGCCCUUUUGUUGGGAAAGAAAAGCAGCAGGUUAAUACCCCGCUGUUCUGACGGUACCCAAAGAAUAAGCACCGGCUAACUUCGUG
rnacentral:rRNA from 1 species